UACGUAGGGAGCAAGCGUUGUUCGGGUUUACUGGGCGUAAAGGUCGCGUAGGCGGCAAAUUAAGUCAGCUGUGAAAUCUCCGAGCUUAACUCGGAACGGUCAGCUGAUACUGAUCUGCUAGAGUGCGGAAGGGGCAAUCGGAAUUCUUGGUGUAGCGGUGAAAUGCGUAGAUAUCAAGAGGAACACCUGAGGUGAAGACGGGUUGCUGGGCCGACACUGACGCUGAGUGCGCGAAGGUCAGGGGAGCAAACGGG
rnacentral:rRNA from 1 species